GUGAAAUCUGGAGAGCCAGACCCAGGCAGGAUAAGCUCAUUCUGGGCUUGGGACCUGCUGACUGGUUUCACAGGUGGCCCUGCAGUGGAGAGGCCCCUAAAGGGAUGAUUCCCAAGGAAUCAAGUGUCUCCCGAGUGGUGCUUCCUGUGGAUGGCAGCCACGGGGGAGGGCAGAGAUUCUAACAGCAAAUGAGAAAGAAGGGAACUGUGAACACAAAGGGAAGGUGAUGUGAAGACACAGGGAGAGUGCCAUCUAACAGCCACAUGAUUCCCAAGGCUACCAGAAGCUAAGAGAGAAGCACAGAACAGAUUCUCUGUUACAUCUCUCAGACAGAGUCAACUUUUCGACAUGCUGAGUUCAGAAUUCUAGCCUUCAGAACUGUGAAAAAAUACAUUUCUGUUGCUUAAGCCACUUUUUUGUGGUCCUCUCAUAUGGCAACCCUUGGAAACUCUAGAGUAGGGGAGGACCUCUGAGGUUACAUUCUGAUGGGCAUUCUGGGACAGUGUGCAUGGAACCCAGUGUUCAAAGUUGAGGUCAAAGCACUUACAGUAUUUUUUAACAUAAAUCUGUAAAAAAAAUAUAUUCAGUGGGAACUAAGCUACAAAACAAAUCUGAGUGACACAAUAUUCCAUAAUUGAAACUUUGAAAUGGUGUGAGUCCUUACUCCUGAACUGACUUCAUUACCUCUGGCUUCAUCCUGCAGAAUGUGUGUUUCUGACGUCCACUGCAUCAGACUACCAGUCACAUCCUAGUGAAUUGAGUCUCUUUUAAAUGUAAAGGUCAAAGGUAUUUUACUUUAAAUACUAAAAUAGACACCAAUUUUAAACAUUCCUUUAACCCUAAUUCCCCUAGACCUCUGUCACCUCUGCACAUAACGUGUUUGAGUCUCCACCUGAACCUAAACUGGACUGUCACAACUUUGGCAGAACCUCUUUUAGGAAAAUUUAUAACAUUCCUUAACUGUCUGCUCCAGGGUAUCACUUACUAUAAGAAAAAUCUUUUUGGGUUCCCUUUGAAACCAUAGUUCAAAAUAUAUGUGUUUGUUCUUGCAUUAUCUUUAGUAGAGAUAAAAAUUAUAUGAUAAGAUAAAUCUAUGUCCAUUAGGAGAAAAAGAUCUAGAUUAUUCCCCAGUCUUCAGUAAAUAACCCUAUGCUUCUAACCUUAAAGGUGUUGGCUUUCAACUUUCAGUCAUUUGAAUUCUUCGGGAGAGAUCCCUCAUCAGUUUCAUCACAUUAAUAUAUAAAUCACUAAACUGUAAAUGAAUUUUUAAGAUACCACGUAAAAAUAAUUAGCAUGCAUGUUGCAAGGAGAACUUCCCACAGUAAAAUUUCUAGAUAGAAGUUGAAGUCCUGUACACUGAACUCCUCAAAUGAAAUAAGCAUAGGGGUUCUUAAAUAUUCUUUUUAAAAAGAAAGCACAAAGAUGUGGUGAAACUAUUUUGCUUGCCAUGUCAGCAUUCCUUGAGAGGAGAGAAAGAAAAGGAUAUUCUUCAGUUUAGCUCUACAAAGACUUCAAAACAUUUUGAUUUUCAAAGACACUUUUACAGAGCUAUAAAACUGCUUGUCUCCCAUCCAGACCAUCCCGUACACAAAUGCAGUUUUAAUUUUUAUAAAGUGCUACUUUGAUUAUGCAAUUCCUUGGCCAAAAUUGAUUAUGGCUUCUUACUGUGUGUCAGAUCACAUCUAUGCAUUUCAAGAUCAUUGAUAAUCUGUACCCAUCCAAUAUAUCCCAAAUAUUAUUUCACAUUUCCCCAUCAUAAAGUUUAUUCCUUUAUUUUACUGCCUUUUUCUCCCCUUGUCAACUCCAACACAUAUGGGUUUAUAUACAUACACUCCGUAAAACACAUAUGUGCAUGCACAUAUACACACACAUUAACAUAUCCCAUAUCUAUUCUGGCCUUUUUGGGGACUUUUACUUAUACUUUUUCCCCCUCUUUUGCUAUUUGCUUAAAUCUUUUCUCCUAGCCAGAUUCUAAACUUCCUCAAAGCUUCAUUUCCUUCUAGAAAGCUCCCCUGAUGACCUGUACCUCAGUUAUCCAUCCACCUUCUUAUCACUGCUACUUAUUCAGUAAGACUAUCCAGCAAUUGUUUAAAUACUAUUCUAUAGUGCUUUCUAAAUUUUUAUGAACAUACAGGCUAUGUUAUAAUUUUUAGGCUUCCUACAUAUCUCUCACUGCCAAUCAUGAUAUCCCAAACAAAACUCAUAAUCUUCAUUCCCAUCCAAGAUCUUCCAAUGGGUCUAUUCUGUUCCUUC